rnacentral:rRNA from 1 species
AUGGUCGGGGAGCACCUCGCGCAGCCCCUGCAAAGUCCCAUCGCCGCAUGCAGGUACGGGUUCGUCCUGUCGCCGGCGCCGACGGUUUGCCGGCAUAGAUUCGGCGGCCGUCUGCCGGGCUCGGCGCUCGCGCAGUGGCUCUGCGGCUCGUCGAUGCCGCUCAUACAGUGCGACGACUGUACGCGAACAGUGCUGCGGCUAACUUCGGGCAUGCCGAAGCACCCAGGAUGGGUGUUCUUCAAAUGCGAAAACGACGGGGAAGAUGGAUGCUCAUUUUGGUUUUGGGAAGACGAAUACAUUAAUUUAUUGAUAGAAAGAAACUUAAUAAACGUUCGUGCAUUCCUUAGUAGAAUCAAAGGUAAUGAAGCGGCUGCAUCUGCAACUAGAGGGAAAACAACGUCUACUUCUUUAUAA